UAGCAAGCCUCCAGCAUGCUUGGGUCUGCUGUAACCCUGUGCAUUCCAACAAUGCUUGCCAGAGCAGUUUUGAAACAGUUUGAGGCCUUCCUCUGCUCCAUCUAGAGCAAGGUCAUAGAACUUUCAGAUAACU